rnacentral:rRNA from 1 species
GAUGAACGCUGGCGGCGUGCCUAAUACAUGCAAGUCGAGCGAACAGAUGAGGAGCUUGCUCCUCUGACGUUAGCGGCGGACGGGUGAGUAACACGUGGAUAACCUACCUAUAAGACUGGGAUAACUUCGGGAAACCGGAGCUAAUACCGGAUAAUAUAUUGAACCGCAUGGUUCAAUAGUGAAAGACGGUUUUGCUGUCACUUAUAGAUGGAUCCGCGCCGCAUUAGCUAGUUGGUAAGGUAACGGCUUACCAAGGCAACGAUGCGUAGCCGACCUGAGAGGGUGAUCGGCCGCACUGGAACUGAGACACGGUCAAGACUCCUACGGGAGGCAGCAGUAGGGAAUCUUCCGCAAUGGGCGAAAGCCUGACGGAGCAACGCCGCGUGAGUGAUGAAGGUCUUCGGAUCGUAAAACUCUGUUAUUAGGGAAGAACAAAUGUGUAAGUAACUAUGCACGUCUUGACGGUACCUAAUCAGAAAGCCACGGCUAACUACGUG